GCCUGGGUGGCUCAGUGGUUGAGCAUCUGCCUUCAGCGCAGAGCAUCAUCCUGGGGUCCUGGGAUCGAGUCCCACAUCAGGCU
rfam:Canis lupus familiaris chromosome 26, whole genome shotgun sequence.